rnacentral:rRNA from 1 species
UACGGGGGGAGCAAGCGUUGUUCGGAUUUACUGGGCGUAAAGGGCGCGUAGGCGGCACUGCAAGUCAGUUGUGAAAUCUCCGGGCUUAACCCGGAAAGGUCAACUGAUACUGCAGGGCUAGAGUGCAGAAGGGGCAACUGGAAUUCUCGGUGUAGCGGUGAAAUGCGUAGAUAUCGAGAGGAACACCUGCGGCGAAGGCGGGUUGCUGGGCUGACAUUGACGCUGAGGCGCGAAAGCCAGGGGAGCGAACGGG